GACGGAGGGUGCUAGCGUUGUUCGGAAUUACUGGGCGUAAAGGGCGCGUAGGCGGCCGGAGAAGUCGGAUGUGAAAGCCCGGGGCUCAACCUCGGAACUGCAUUCGAAACUUUUCGGCUCGAGAACGGAAGAGGAGAGUGGAAUACCCAGUGUAGAGGUGAAAUUCGUAGAUAUUGGGUGGAACACCGGUGGCGAAAGCGGCUCUCUGGUCCGGAUCUGACGCUGAGGCGCGAAAGCGUGGGGAGCAAACAGG
rnacentral:rRNA from 1 species